rnacentral:rRNA from 1 species
UAGGGAAUCUUCGGCAAUGGACGGAAGUCUGACCGAGCAACGCCGCGUGAGUGAAGAAGGUUUUCGGAUCGUAAAGCUCUGUUGUAAGAGAGGAACGAGUGUGAGAGUGGAAAGUUCACACUGUGACGGUAUCUUACCAGAAAGGGACGGCUAACUACGUGCCAGCAGCCGCGGUAAUACGUAGGUCCCGAGCGUUGUCCGGAUUUAUUGGGCGUAAAGCGAGCGCAGGCGGUUAGAUAAGUCUGAAGUUAAAGGCUGUGGCUUAACCAUAGUAGGCUUUGGAAACUGUUUAACUUGAGUGCAAGAGGGGAGAGUGGAAUUCCAUGUGUAGCGGUGAAAUGCGUAGAUAUAUGGAGGAACACCGGUGGCGAAAGCGGCUCUCUGGCUUGUAACUGACGCUGAGGCUCGAAAGCGUGGGGAGCAAACAGGAUUAGAUACCCUGGUAGUCCACGCUGUAAACGAUGAGUGCUAGGUGUUAGACCCUUUCCGGGGUUUAGUGCCGUAGCUAACGCAUUAAGCACUCCGCCUGGGGAGUACGACCGCAAGGUU